rnacentral:sRNA from 1 species
CAGCAGACACGAAACUAUUUCAAAUCCGUUUUAAAACAGCGUGACUCGAACCUAUCAGACGCGGAUGGCUGGUCAAUACUGUUAAUCACUGAUGUGCGGCACUCUCCCCCAAGUGCCCGUCAGGCGGAGCAGCGUGGAGCGCCUGUUCCGGUUUCACUCCUAAUGGUCUUGACCCGGAUUCAUCCCCCAGAAUCCGG